AAUAAAUUAUCUGGUAAUGAUGGCGAAGAGGCCACACCCGUUCCCAUGCCGAACACGGAAGUUAAGCUCUUCAGCGCCGAUGGUAGUUGGGGGUUUCCCCCUGUGAGAGUAGGACGUUGCCAGGC
rnacentral:rRNA from 1 species